UACGUAGGGGGCAAGCGUUGUCCGGAUUUAUUGGGCGUAAAGAGCGUGUAGGCGGCCAGGGAGGUCCGUUGUGAAAACUCGAGGCUCAACCUCGAGACGCCGAUGGAAACCCCUGGCUAGAGUCCGGAAGAGGAGAGUGGAAUUCCUGGUGUAGCGGUGAAAUGCGCAGAUAUCAGGAAGAACACCCGUGGCUAAGGCGGUUCUCUAGUACGGUACUGACGCUGAGACGCGAAAGCGUGGGGAGCGAACAGG
rnacentral:rRNA from 1 species